UUGGGGAAUGAACCAUGAAUAUGACAGAGCACCUACUUCUACAUCUGAUUAAGAAAGUAGAUAGGUUCCCCUCUUCCAAGAUGGGUGUCAAAUGAUCUGUAUCAGGUGUCUAUUGGUGAAAUUUGGGGAGGAUCCCAGAACUUAACAGCCUUUGGUUGAGUCCCCUCACACUGUGGCAGCUCCUGGCAAUCGCUUAUCUGUCUUCUGUCUCUGUGGAUUUGCCUUUUCUGGACAUUUAACCU